rnacentral:rRNA from 1 species
GAUGAACGCUGGCGGCGUGCCUAACACAUGCAAGUCGAGCGAGAAGUAAAGAAAUGAAGCUUCGGUAGAUUUUCAUUAUGGAAAGCGGCGGACGGGUGAGUAACGCGUAGGCAACCUGCCCUGUACAGGGGGAUAGCCACCCGAAAAGGUGAUUAAUACCCCAUGAUGCAAGAGAUACACAUGUAUCACUUGUCAAAGAUUUAUCGGUAUGGGAUGGGCCUGCGUCUGAUUAGCUAGUUGGUAGGGUAACGGCUUACCAAGGCAACGAUCAGUAGCCGACCUGAGAGGGUGAUCGGCCACAUUGGAACUGAGACACGGUCCAAACUCCUACGGGAGGCAGCAGUGGGGAAAUGCACAAUGGGGGAAACCCUGAUGCAGCAACGCCGCGUGAAGGAAGAAGGCCUUCGGGUUGU